GAUGAACGCUGGCGGCGUGCCUAAUACAUGCAAGUCGAGCGAACAGACGAGGAGCUUGCUCCUCUGACGUUAGCGGCGGACGGGUGAGUAACACGUGGAUAACCUACCUAUAAGACUGGGAUAACUUCGGGAAACCGGAGCUAAUACCGGAUAAUAUAUUGAACCGCAUGGUUCAAUAGUGAAAGACGGUUUUGCUGUCACUUAUAGAUGGAUCCGCGCCGCAUUAGCUAGUUGGUAAGGUAACGGCUUACCAAGGCAACGAUGCGUAGCCGACCUGAGAGGGUGAUCGGCCACACUGGAACUGAGACACGGUCCAGACUCCUACGGGAGGCCGCAGUAGGGAAUCUUCCGCAAUGGGCGAGAGCCUGACAGAGCAGCGCCGCGUGAGUGAUGAAGGUCUUCGGAUCGUAAAACUCUGUUAUUAGGGGAGAACAAAUGUGUAAGUAACUAUGCACGUCUUGACGGUACCUAAUCAGAAAGCCACGGCUAACUACGUG
rnacentral:rRNA from 1 species